UGAGGUGUGCCCCUCCGUCCUGAACACACCCAAUCUCAUUUCAUCUCAGCAGCUAAGCAGGGUCGGGCCUGGUUAGUACUUGAGACCAGGUGAUUUCUAAU
rnacentral:rRNA from 1 species